rnacentral:rRNA from 1 species
CAGUAGCCACGGGAAUACGUAGGUGGCAAGCGUUGUCCGGAAUUAUUGGGCGUAAAGGGCUCGCAGGCGGUUCCUUAAGUCUGAUGUGAAAGCCCCCGGCUCAACCGGGGAGGGUCAUUUGAAACUGGGAAACUUGAGUGCAGAAGAGGAGAGUGGAAUUCCACGUGUAGCGGUGAAAUGCGUAGAGAUGUGGAGGAACACCAGUGGCGAAGGCGACUCUCUGGUCUGUAACUGACGCUGAGGAGCGAAAGCGUGGGGAGCGAACAGGAUUAGAGACCCCAGUAGUCCCUGUCUCUUAUAC